AUUGAACGCUGGCGGCAGGCCUAACACAUGCAAGUCGAGCGAGCGGAGGACGGGUGAGUAAUGGAUGGGGACUGCCCGAUAGAGGGGGAUAACUACUGGAAACGGUGGCUAAUAACGCAUACUGUCGGAUUACCCAGCUGGGAUUCGCUAGUAGGUAAGGUAAUGGCUUACCUAGGCGACGAUCCCUAGCUGGUCUGAGAGGAUGAUCAGCCACACUGGGACUGGGACACGGCCCAGACUCCUACGGAGGCAGCAGUGGGGAAUAUUGCACAAUGGGCGCAAGCCUGAUGCGGCCAUGCCGCGUGUAUGAAGAAGGCCCUAGGGUUGUAAAGUACUUUCAGUCGGGAGGCGUUACCGAAAGAAGAAGCACCGGCUAACUCCGUGCCAGCAGCCGCGGUAAUUC
rnacentral:rRNA from 1 species